CGCCGGCAGCGCGGGGAGGCAGCGCCAGCUCGAGGUCUUUCUUCUUCAGUCUGCAGAACAGUGAAGAGGUCCUGCAAUGGCACCCCAGACUGUGAGCAGCUGUCAAGAUACUUUUAAGUGUUCUGUGAUGAGUUUGACCUCCUAUCAUGACUGUCCCCUUGUUCUCAGACAUGGAAUUUAAAAACAAGUGCUGAAGUCCUCAAGCUUUACCUAACAUGUGUGGAACAGUACAGUUCCUUCUUGUUUGAAAGAAUAUUUAACCCCUCCUCCUGCCCCCCCCAAGACACAGACAACAAACAAACAAACAAAACCAAAAUCAUUUUAUUUCCUUUCUUCUGAAGUUUAAAAAGGAAAGCACAAAUUCUUCUGGUCAUGAAUGCACAGAACAAGAUUCAGAGGAGUAAGGCCAUUGGAGCCUCGACAGUCAAGGAGGAAAUGAGUGGAAAUAUUCAUUCCCAGCACAUGCACAUUGCCAUUGCUCCUCAGCACUGCAGUGCAAUGACACAGUCCAUCUUUAUGGGAGCCAUUCCUAUUGUCUUUAUCAAGAUUACCUGUUACUCCAGCUGCAUAGUAGUAUGUCAGUCUCAUCUCCUGC
ensembl:lncRNA